GGGUUGUGAGGUUAAGCGACUAAGCGUACACGGUGGAUGCCCUGGCAGUCAGAGGCGAUGAAGGACGUGCUAAUCUGCGAAAAGCGUCGGUAAGGUGAUAUGAACCGUUAUAGCCGGCGAUGUCCGAAUGGGGAAACCCAGUGCAAUUCGUUGCACUAUCGUUUGAUGAAUACAUAGUCAAACGAGGCGAACCGGGGGAACUGAAACAUCUAAGUACCCCGAGGAAAAGAAAUCAACCGAGAUUCCCCCAGUAGCGGCGAGCGAACGGGGAGCAGCCCGGAGUCUGAAUCAGCUUGUGUGUUAGUGGAAGCGUCUGGAAAGUCGCAGGGUACAGGGUGAUACUCCCGUACACUAAAACACACAGGUUGUGAACUCGAAGAGUAGGGCGGGACACGUGGUAUCCUGUCUGAAUAUGGGGGGACCAUCCUCCAAGGCUAAAUACUCCUGACUGACCGAUAGUGAACCAGUACCGUGAGGGAAAGGCGAAAAGAACCCCGGCGAGGGGAGUGAAAAAGAACCUGAAACCGUGUACGUACAAGCAGUAGGAGCCCACUAGUUGGGUGACUGCGUACCUUUUGUAUAAUGGGUCAGCGACUUAUAUUCUGUAGCAAGGUUAACCGUAUAGGGGAGCCGCAGGGAAACCGAGUCUUAACUGGGCGUUAAGUUGCAGGGUAUAGACCCGAAACCCGGUGAUCUAGCCAUGGGCAGGUUGAAGGUUGGGUAACACUAACUGGAGGACCGAACCGACUAAUGUUGAAAAAUUAGCGGAUGACUUGUGGCUGGGGGUGAAAGGCCAAUCAAACCGGGAGAUAGCUGGUUCUCCCCGAAAGCUAUUUAGGUAGCGCCUCGUGAACUCAUCUUCGGGGGUAGAGCACUGUUUCGGCUAGGGGGUCAUCCCGACUUACCAACCCGAUGCAAACUACGAAUACCGAAGAAUGUUAUCACGGGAGACACACGGCGGGUGCUAACGUCCGUCGUGAAGAGGGAAACAACCCAGACCGCCAGCUAAGGUCCCAAAGUCAUGGUUAAGUGGGAAACGAUGUGGGAAGGCCCAGACAGCCAGGAUGUUGGCUUAGAAGCAGCCAUCAUUUAAAGAAAGCGUAAUAGCUCACUGGUCGAGUCGGCCUGCGCGGAAGAUGUAACGGGGCUAAACCAUGCACCGAAGCUGCGGCAGCGACACUAUGUGUUGUUGGGUAGGGGAGCGUUCUGUAAGCCGUUGAAGGUGGCCUGUGAGGGUUGCUGGAGGUAUCAGAAGUGCGAAUGCUGACAUAAGUAACGAUAAUGCGGGUGAAAAACCCGCACGCCGGAAGACCAAGGGUUCCUGUCCAACGUUAAUCGGGGCAGGGUGAGUCGACCCCUAAGGCGAGGCCGAAAGGCGUAGUCGAUGGGAAACAGGUUAAUAUUCCUGUACUCGGUGUUACUGCGAAGGGGGGACGGAGAAGGCUAUGUUGGCCGGGCGACGGUUGUCCCGGUUUAAGCAUGUAGGCGGAUGUUCCAGGUAAAUCCGGAACGUUAUUAACGCUGAGGUGUGAUGACGAGGCACUACGGUGCUGAAGUGACAAAUGCCCUGCUUCCAGGAAAAGCCUCUAAGCAUCAGGUAACAUCAAAUCGUACCCCAAACCGACACAGGUGGUCAGGUAGAGAAUACCAAGGCGCUUGAGAGAACUCGGGUGAAGGAACUAGGCAAAAUGGUGCCGUAACUUCGGGAGAAGGCACGCUGAUGGUAGGUGAAGUGACUUGCUCAUGGAGCUGAAAUCAGUCGAAGAUACCAGCUGGCUGCAACUGUUUAUUAAAAACACAGCACUGUGCAAACACGAAAGUGGACGUAUACGGUGUGACGCCUGCCCGGUGCCGGAAGGUUAAUUGAUGGGGUUAUCCGUAAGGAGAAGCUCUUGAUCGAAGCCCCGGUAAACGGCGGCCGUAACUAUAACGGUCCUAAGGUAGCGAAAUUCCUUGUCGGGUAAGUUCCGACCUGCACGAAUGGCGUAAUGAUGGCCAGGCUGUCUCCACCCGAGACUCAGUGAAAUUGAACUCGCUGUGAAGAUGCAGUGUACCCGCGGCAAGACGGAAAGACCCCGUGAACCUUUACUAUAGCUUGACACUGAACACUGGUCCUUGAUGUGUAGGAUAGGUGGGAGGCUUUGAAGUGUGGACGCCAGUCUGCAUGGAGCCAUCCUUGAAAUACCACCCUUUAAUGGCUGGUGUUCUAACGUGGGCCCCUGAUCGGGGUUGCGGACAGUGUCUGGUGGGUAGUUUGACUGGGGCGGUCUCCUCCUAAAGAGUAACGGAGGAGCACGAAGGUCAGCUAAUCCUGGUCGGACAUCAGGAGGUUAGUGCAAUGGCAUAAGCUGGCUUGACUGCGAGCGUGACGGCGCGAGCAGGUGCGAAAGCAGGUCAUAGUGAUCCGGUGGUUCUGAAUGGAAGGGCCAUCGCUCAACGGAUAAAAGGUACUCCGGGGAUAACAGGCUGAUACCGCCCAAGAGUUCAUAUCGACGGCGGUGUUUGGCACCUCGAUGUCGGCUCAUCACAUCCUGGGGCUGAAGUAGGUCCCAAGGGUAUGGCUGUUCGCCAUUUAAAGUGGUACGCGAGCUGGGUUUAGAACGUCGUGAGACAGUUCGGUCCCUAUCUGCCGUGGGCGCUGGAGAAUUGAGGGGGGCUGCUCCUAGUACGAGAGGACCGGAGUGGACGCAUCACUGGUGUUCGGGUUGUCAUGCCAAUGGCAUUGCCCGGUAGCUAAAUGCGGAAGAGAUAAGUGCUGAAAGCAUCUAAGCACGAAACUUGCCCCGAGAUGAGUUCUCCCUGACCCUUUAAGGGUCCUGAAGGAACGUUGAAGACGACGACGUUGAUAGGCCGGGUGUGUAAGCGCAGCGAUGCGUUGAGCUAACCGGUACUAAUGAACCGUGAGGCUUAACCUUACAACGCCGAAG
rnacentral:rRNA from 1 species